rnacentral:rRNA from 1 species
AACUCGCCUGCACGAAGUUGGAAUUGCUAGUAAUCGUGGAUCAGCAUGCCACGGUGAAUACGUUCCCGGGUCUUGUACACACCGCCCGUCACACCAUGGGAGCCGGUAAUACCCGAAGUCAGUAGUCUAACCGCAAGGAGGACGCUGCCGAAGGUAGGAUUGGCGACUGGGGUGAAGUCGUAACAAGGUAAC